rnacentral:rRNA from 1 species
AUUGAACGCUGGCGGCAGGCCUAACACAUGCAAGUCGAACGAGUGGCGGACGGGUGAGUAAUGUCUGGGAAACUGCCCGAUGGAGGGGGAUAACUACUGGAAACGGUAGAUAAUACCGCAUACCAUCGGAUGUGCCCAGAUGGGAUUAGCUAGUAGGGGGGGUCACGGCGCACCUAGGCGACGAUCCAUAUCUGGUCUGAGAGGAUGACCAGCCAGACGGGAACUGAGACAAGGUCCAGACUCCUACGGGAGGCAGCAGUGGGGAAUAUUGCACAAUGGGCGCAAGCCUGAUGCAGCCAUGCCGCGUGUAUGAAGAAGGCCUGCGGGUUGUAAAGUACUUUCAGCGGGGAGGCGUUACCCGCAGAAGAAGCACCGGCUAACUCCGUGCCAGCAGCCGCGGUAAUUC